CGUGGAUAAUCUACCUGUAGGUCUGGGAUAACUCCGGGAAACUGGAGCUAAUACCGGAUAAGACCACGGGGUCUUCGGGUCUUGCGGGAAAAGGUGGCCUCUUCUUGAAGGCUACCGCCUAUCGAUGAGUCCGCGUCCCAUUAGCUUGUUGGUGAGGUAAAGGCUCACCAAGGCUUCGAUGGGUAGCUGGUCUGAGAGGAUGAUCAGCCACACUGGAACUGAGACACGGUCCAG
rnacentral:rRNA from 1 species